rnacentral:lncRNA from 1 species
UAUGCCGGUUGUUUCUUCCGUCUCCCUGGCUCUCUCCCUCUCCCCUUCCCUCUCCCCUCUAUAAAUCUGGCCGAGCCCGGACCUCUCUCUCUCCCCAAGCUCACCCUCUCACUCUCCCUCGCUCUCCUCGUGUUCACGCCAUGCCCAACUCGUCGCGCCGGAGCUCGUCCGCGCAGCACCCGCAGCAACGCUACGUACCAGUCGUCGAGUCCCUGCUCGCGCCGUGCCUGCUCGCCAUCGUGAAGCUUGUCGCCGGACCGUCCGCAUUCGUACACCGUUCGCAGUAUGUGGAGCCUCGCCAGAGUUCGUGCUCACCAUCCGCGUUACCCGCCGGAGCCUCGCCACCCACGCAACACCCCGGCUGGACCUCGCGCUCGUUCCCUUGACCGUCGUUCAUCCCUUCGCAUGAACGAAAACCAAGGUUGAAGACAACUCGCUAAUUUAUUUUCUAAAUCAUGCUUUAAAAUUUAUUUAUGGAUCUUGUGAAUUAGUGUUGUAUUAUUGAUGCGAUUUGGCGAUUUACAUGUAUGAUUUUAGAGAUUUGUGAUGUAUACGUGUAACCAAAAUCGAAUCCCGUGACAAUAUUUUAAAAAUGCGUAUGAUUUUAUAGUUCUAAAAAUGAAUACGGUCACUAGUCGCUACCGCGGCGAUUUUCAUACUAGAAUUGUUUAUGGUGUUGUUUUCGCUUUAGUGUGUGGAGCGACAAUCGGUUAGUAAUGAUAUAAGUAUAAUCUUAGUGAUAUAAGAAAUUGAAAUACAAAUUAAGCCACGUAUUUUCGGACGAAUGAAAAAUGUAUAGAUUUUACUAUUCAUAAUAGAUGUAUUCAUAAGUAUAGCACUUAAUUACUUAGAAUAGUAAAAUGUUCAUUUAUGUCAUAAUAACCAUGAAUAGGUUAUUAAAAGUCUCAUUUAGUAAUUUACAAUUAAUUCUUAGUAUUAAUGGCAGAAGAAUUAUAAAUAAAUAAUUUUUAGUUAUACGUAUAAAUUCUAUUUAGAAAAGAAAGAGGAGAAAACCGAAAUAGUAGAAUUUAUAAUAAUGUUAAAAUAACUUAAUUAGACGCUCAUACUUUUCUAAUAAAGAAAUUGAUAGUUAUGUUGAUAAAUAUAGGUUUCUUACUAAAGAAGUAAAUAAUUUGUUUCUAAUUUUAAAAUGACUUUUUUAAUAGAUGACAUGUUUUAACCAGGUUCAUUAUAGAUGUUUAAGUAUAGUCGUAUUAAAUAGAAACUUAAAAGAAUAUGUAGACAUAUGUUCCAUAAUAAAAAUAGAAGAUAAACAUAUAGAUUAUUUACAAUUUUUGAAUUAAAAGAUAACAAGGGUCAUUGCUUUUAUAAACUAAAAUGAUAGUUUAUACAUAACUUUCUUUUUAAUGAAUUAGAUCAUUUGUUCCUACAAUAGAAUUGCAUAUAAUUAAUAGAGUAAUUAUCAUUUAUCAUAAUUUAUUAAUCAAACUUAUAGUCAAUUUGUUCUUAAGUAGAUUUAUGGCAUGAUUAAUGAUUUCAUAGAAUUUAGUCCACAUUAUAUAUGAAUCACUUAGCUUUUCCUAAAGGAUAAAAUAAAGUAAUAAGAGUUUAAGUUCUUUUAUAACUUAAAAUGUUACUUUAGAUAUAUUGAUUUCAAAUACAAUAAUAUAGGCUAUGUGCUUUUUAAUGAAAUUAAAAGAUAGUUAUUUGUUCAUUAUCUUUUGCAUGAAAAUCCACUUAAGGCUUAUUGUCGGCGUUCCGAGACCGGGGGGUCCCUGAGCCGACGAGUGAAUGUCCCCGCGUGCCCCAGCCCAGAUGGGUCGAGCGCGAGGGCGAGCGCGAAGGGGGGAGAGCGAGGCGGCCGGAGACCGGCGUGAGAGAGGUGGGAAUCCCGCGGCCUUCAUGUUCGUCCCGCGCCCAGGUCGGGUGCGCUUGCAGUAGGGGGUUACAAGCGUCCACGCGGGAGAGGGAGCGAGCGGCUCCGAGCGAGCGUGUGUCUCGUCCUCGUCCCCGCGCGGCCAACCCCCUCUAAGAGGGCCCUGGUCCUCCCUUUUAUAGGCGCAAGGAGAGGAUCCAGGUGUACAAUGGGGGGUGUAGCAGAGUGCUACGUGUCUAGCGGAGGAGAGCUAGCGCCCUAAGUACAUGCCGUUGUGGCAGCCGGAGAGAUCUUGGCACCCAGCUGGUGUGAUGUCGUGGUCGUCGGAGGAGCGAUGGAGCCUGGCGGAGGGACAGCUGUCAGAGCGGUUGAGUCCUUGCUGACGUCCUCUUGCUUCCGUAAGGGGGCUGAGAGCCGCCGUCGUCACAGAGUAUGCGGGGCGCCAUCAUUGCCUAUCUGGCGGAGCGAGCCAGAUGGGACGCCGGUCUUGUUCCCUGCGGCCCGAGUCAGCUCGGGGUAGGGUGAUGAUGGCACCUCAUGUUGACGUGGCUGGUCUGCGCCCUAGGUUGGGCGAUGUGGAAGCUCCUCCGAAGCCGAGGUCGAGUCUGUCUCCCGUGGCCGAGGUCGGGUCCGAGCCCCAGGUUCGGGCGAGGCGGAGAUUGCCGGCUGGUGCCGGGGCAGAGUCCGAGCCCUGGGGUCGGGCGAAGCGGAGUUCGUCGUCUUCUGGGGCCGAGCCCAAGUCCGAGCCCUGGGUCGGGCGAGGCGGAGAUCGUCAUCUGAGGCCAGGGCGUAGUCCGAGCCCUGGGGUCGGGCGAAGCGGGGUUCGCCGUCUUCCGGGACUUAGCCCGUGUCCGAGCCCUGGGUCGGGCGGAGCGGAGUUCGCCGUCUUCCGGGUCUUAGCCCGUGUCCGAGCCCUAGGUCGGGCGGAGCGGAGUUCGCCGUCUUCCGGGUCUUAGCCCGUGUCCGAGCCCUGGGUCGGGCGGAGCGGAGUUCACCGUCUUCCGGGACUUAGCCCGUGUCCGAGCCCUGGGUCGGGCAGAGCGGAGUUUCCUACGGAGCCUUCGGCCGGGCCUGGCUACCCAUCAGUCUCACUCUGUCAAGUGGCGCCGCAGUCGGAGUGGCGCAGGCGGCGCUGUCCUUCUGUCAGGCCGGUCAGUGGAGCGGCGAAGUGACGGCGGUCACUUCGGCUCUGCCGGCUGGGGGGCGCGCGUCAGGAUAAAGGUGUCAGGCCACCUUUGCAUUAAAUGCUCCUGCGAUUUGGUCGGUCGGUGCGGCGAUUUGGUCAGGGUUGCUUCUUGGCGAAGGCAGGGCCUCGGGCGAGCCGGGAAUAUGUUCGCUGCUGAAGGGGGGCCUCGGGCGAGACGGAAAUCCUCCGGGGUCGGCUGCCCUUGUCCGAGGCUAGGCUCGGGCGAGGCGUGAUCGAGUCCCUCGAAUGGACUGAUCCCUGACUUAAUCGCACCCAUCAGGCCUUUGCAGCUUUGUGCUGAUGGGGGUUACCAGCUAAGAAUUAGGAGCCUUGAGGGUACCCCUAAUUAUGGUCCCCGACACUUAUAAUCUAGCUUUUCAUAAAAUAGGUGAUUAAUAAUAUAAUUAUGAUAUUUUCACAUAAAAAGUUGUUUAAGCUAUUUAUGAGCUUUUUAUAAAAGUAAUGUUUAAUAAUGUGUUCUAUAACUCAUUAACCUUAGAUAUAUAACAUAUAUCUUCUCUAAAAGGUUAAAAAGGUUUAAUAUCGUUAUAACGUGUUUUAUCGUCUUAUAAACCCUUAAUCUUAGACAUAUCACAUAUGACGUUUUAUUGAUGGACCUAAUAUUUGUAUAUUUUAAUUAACAUAUUUUUAAGCUAAUGUCUUGUUUUAUAAAAUAUAUAUAUAUAUAUCACACAUUUUUGAAAAGAAUACCUUCUUAUUAUAACCAUUACUUGUGACGUUUUUGAAAAGCGAACGCUCUUUUCGUUAGGCUUUCUUUUAGCUUUACGUAUGGUGAAUGUUGUAUGUUAUUGAGUGAUGUUUGUUCUUCUUGUUUGUUUGUGUGAUAUUCAGUGGUUGAUCUAGUAGUUAAGAAUCAAGAUCUAUUCCUAUCCG